GGCGUGGUUCAAAGGUAGAAAUGUUUUGCACAAUCUCACGAGAAAAUAUGAGAUUUACCGAUUAUUGUUUACAUUGCACAAAAUGAGAACCGAAUCGAUUCUGAUUUCGCGAAUCUGAUUGGGAAAAUAUUUUUUUUUUCGUCUAACGUUACAUCAGCUAAUCUUUCUAAAAGGAGACCUUAGGCUGGAACGGGAUUUAAAGAGCCAAUUUAUCAUUCCAGGACUUGAUCCCGGUUCGGUGCUGACCCAGAGCAGCGAAGACGAACAAGAGAAACAAAAUAUCUCAAAAACAACACCACAAUUAACUAACUUCGAAGUGAAUCGAAUAAUUUUGGAUGGGAAAUCAUUAGAUGUGGAUCUGCAGCGAAGUUCCACAUGCCUCAGAUCUGGUAGAAAAGAUAUAUCGCACAAGGCCAGCGGAGAAAGGCGGGUUCGGGAGCUCAAGGCCUCGGAAGUCUCGCAGUCCUCGGACUAUAGUAGGACGCGGAGCUGGCGUCCCCUAGCAACACAGCAGGCACCGAGCGCAGGCGAGGGUCGGGGUUUCGGCUGAGGCCUAGCCCUGAGAUGUCGGGCUGAGACGGGAAGGGCGAGACGGGAGACCAGAGGAGGAGAACGGUCGAAGAAAGGAGCUCUAAUUAAUCGGAAAGCGGGAGAAAAGACCUCGAUAAAACAGCCAUGAUGGAGGAAUUGCACAGCUUGGAUCCUCGCAGGCAGGAGUUGCUGGAGGCCCGUUUCACAGGAGUCGGAGUUGCCAAGGGUUCUGGACACAACGAGUCAUCUAACCAGAGCUUGUGUAGCGUGGGCUCCCUCAGUGACAAAGAGCUGGAGGUUAGUACACAUUUGCUGUU